AGAAAAUAGAUACCCUGGUAGUCCUAGCCGUAAACUCUGAGAACUUGAUUGAAGGACCCUCCAUAGUCUUUCAGUCGUAGCGAAAAAGUGUUAAGUUCUCCGCCUGGGGAGUAUGGUCGCAAGGCUGAAACUCAAAGAAAUUGACGGGGGCUCACACAAGCGGUGGAGGAUGUGGCUUAAUUCGAGGCUACGCGAAGAACCUUAUCCUAGUCUUGACAUGCAUUUCUAAGUCGGUGAAAGCCGGCGAGUGUAGCAAUACACAACUUGCACAGGUGCUGCGUGGCUGUCGUCAGCUCGUGUCGUGAGAUGUCGCGUUAAGUCGCUUAACGAGCGAAACCCUUGUCCUUAGUUACCAGCGAGUAAUGUCGGGGACUCUAAGGAGACUGCCGGUGUUAAACCGGAGGAAGGUGGGGAUGACGUCAAGUCCUCAUGGCCUUUAUGGCUAGGGCUGCACACGUCCUACAAUGGCACACACAGAGGGAAGCAAAACCGUGAGGUCAAGCAAAUCCCAGAAAAUGUGCCCCAGUUCGGAUUGAA
rnacentral:rRNA from 1 species